GACGAACGCUGGCGGCGUGCUUAACACAUGCAAGUCGAGCGGUAAGGCCCUUUCGGUGGUACACGAGCGGCGAACGGGUGAGUAACACGUGGGUGACCUGCCCUCAGCUCUGGGAUAAGCCUGGGAAACCGGGUCUAAUACUGGAUAUGACUCCAUGACGCAUGUUGUGGGGUGGAAAGGCCUUGUGCGGCUGAGGAUGGGCCCGCGGCCUAUCAGCUUGUUGGUGGGGUGAUGGCCUACCAAGGCGACGACGGGUAGCCGGCCUGAGAGGGCGACCGGGCCACACUGGGACUGAGACACGGCCCAGACUCCUACGGGAGGCAGCAGUGGGGAAUCUUUGCGCAAUGGGCGAAAGCCUGACGCAGUGACGCCGCGUGAGGGAU
rnacentral:rRNA from 1 species